GUUGAUCGCGUCGGAAGUGUAAUCUUGGGGCUUAACCCUGAGCGUGCUUUCGAUACGGGUUGACUUGAGGAAGGUAGGGGAGAAUGGAAUUCCUGGUGGAGCGGUGGAAUGCGCAGAUAUCAGGAGGAACACCAGUGGCGAAGGCGGUUCUCUGGGCCUUUCCUGACGCUGAGGAGCGAAAGCGUGGGGAGCGAACAGGCUUAGAUACCCUGGUAGUCCACGCUGUAAACGGUGGGUACUAGGUGUGGGGUCCAUUCCACGGGUUCCGUGCCGUAGCUAACGCUUUAAGUACCCCGCCUGGGGAGUACGGCCGCAAGGCUAAAACUCAAAGGAAUUGACGGGGCCCCGCACAAGCGGCGGAGCAUGCGGAUUAAUUCGAUGCAACGCGUAGAACCUUACCUGGGUUUGACAUGGAUCGGGAGUGCUCAGAGAUGGGUGUGCCUCUUUUGGGGUCGGUUCACAGGUGGUGCAUGGCUGUCGUCAGCUCGUGUCGUGAGAUGUUGGGUUAAGUCCCGCAACGAGCGCAACCCUUGUUCACUGUUGCCAGCACGUUAUGGUGGGGACUCAGUGGAGACCGCCGGGGUCAACUCGGAGGAAGGUGGGGAUGACGUCAAGUCAUCAUGCCCCUUAUGUCCAGGGCUUCACGCAUGCUACAAUGGCUGGUACAGAGAGUGGCGAGCCUGUGAGGGUGAGCGAAUCUCGGAAAGCCGGUCUCAGUUCGGAUUGGGGUCUGCAACUCGACCUCAUGAAGUCGGAGUCGC
rnacentral:rRNA from 1 species